ACGACCGUACCGCAAACCGACACUGGUGCGCGAGAUGAGUAUUCUAAGGCGCUUGAGAGAACUCGGGAGAAGGAACUCGGCAAAUUGACACCGUAACUUCGGAAGAAGGUGUGCCUUUAGUAGGUGAACCAUUUACUUGGGGAGCCCAAUGAGGUUGCAAAAAAUCGGUGGCUGCGACUGUUUAUUAAAAACACAGCACUCUGCAAACACGAAAGUGGACGUAUAGGGUGUGACGCCUGCCCGGUGCUGGAAGAUUAAAUGAUGGGGUGCAAGCUCUUGAUUGAAGUCCCAGUAAACGGCGGCCGUAACAAUAACGGUCCUAAGGUAGCGAAAUUCCUUGUCGGGUAAGUUCCGACCUGCACGAAUGGCGUAACGAUGGCCACACUGUCUCCUCCCGAGACUCAGCGAAGUUGAAAUGUUUGUGAUGAUGCAAUCUCCCCGCGGAAAGACGGAAAGACCCCAUGAACCUUUACUGUAGCUUUGUAUUGGACUUUGAACAGAUCUGUGUAGGAUAGGUGGGAGGCUUUGAAGUAGGGUCGCUAGAUCUUAUGGAGCCAACGUUGAAAUACCACCCUGGUGUGUUUGAGGUUCUAACCUAGGUCCAUUAUCUGGAUCGGGGACAGUGCAUGGUAGGCAGUUUGACUGGGGCGGUCUCCUCCCAAAGCGUAACGGAGGAGUUCGAAGGUACGCUAGUUACGGUCGGACAUCGUGACGAUAGUGCAAUGGCAUAAGCGUGCUUAACUGCGAGACUGACAAGUCGAGCAGAUGCGAAAGCAGGACAUAGUGAUCCGGUGGUUCUGUAUGGAAGGGCCAUCGCUCAACGGAUAAAAGGUACUCUGGGGAUAACAGGCUGAUACCGCCCAAGAGUCCAUAUCGACGGCGGUGUUUGGCACCUCGAUGUCGGCUCAUCUCAUCCUGGGGCUGUAGCCGGUCCCAAGGGUAUGGCUGUUCGCCAUUUAAAGAGGUACGUGAGCUGGGUUUAAAACGUCGUGAGACAGUUUGGUCCCUAUCUUCCGUGGGCGCUGCAGAUUUGAGGAAGCCUGCUCCUAGUACGAGAGGACCGGAGUGGACACACCUCUGGUGUAUCGGUUGUCACGCCAGUGGCAUUGCCGAGUAGCUAAGUGUGGAAGAGAUAACCGCUGAAAGCAUCUAAGCGGGAAACUCGUUUCAAGAUGAGAUCUGCCGGGGCCUUGAGCCCCCUAAAGAGUCGUUCAAGACCAGGACGUUGAUAGGUCAGGUGUGGAAGCGCAGUAAUGCGUUAAGCUAACUGAUACUAAUUGCUCGUGCGGCUUGACCCU
rnacentral:rRNA from 1 species